GGGAGGGUAUUACACCACGUACUUUUAUACGUUAAAUUUCCUCAUGAGUUGGUUGCUAUAGAUUCAGAGAGCGGAGUAACCUUCGAGGUCAUAUGAGAUUAGGCAUGUCUAUCUUGAGUGUAUAAGAGUUUAAGAUCAUGUUUAAUAGGUAUUGGAAGGUUCCUGGAUCAAGCGAAUCGAAGAAUUAAGUUUGUCGAAACUUUGGAAAAAUUUGGCAGAAUUCUGGACAGGAUUUUUUUUGGUCCAAAUUUGGGGAGGUAUAUCUUCUAGCAUAUGAGGAGUUAUGGAAUGCAUAACCUAUGUAAAUUCAAGUUCAAAGAGUUUUCUUUCCAAUGCAACUGACAGAUCACAAAUCCGAGAAGUACAGUGCAAAAUAUGGCCCGUACUAAAAAAUAUGAUUUUAAGUACGGACCGUAUAUCCCUUGGCAGAAAGGCAAAUUUUUAUAUUGAGAAUUACGGACCAUAUUUGAAAUUACGGUCCAUACUUUUGACCGUAUUUUUAAGUCGGUAGUAGUUUUUGUUUUUACAUAUUUUGUGUAUCCCUUCAUUUUAACUCAUUUCUCCACUUCCCCUGAUCUCCAACAUUCUAGAAAACUCUCUCCAACACUAUCUAAUCAACCCCUAAGUAAAAUCAAGGAUCAAAAGAGAAGAUUAAGUGUCUAAAGGUGCUAAAGUGAUUAGGGAAGCUUGUUUCUACUCUUGGUAAUGGUUUGGGAGGAUACUUCAAGGUGAAACACUCUUAGUAUUGAUGUGUUCUUGAGUUUUGAGGUAAGAUGCUAUCCUAACUCCAUGUUUAUGAGUUUAUAUGAUGAUUAUGCUAGGUUUGGAGGGAAAGGAGUUGGAGGAAAGGUUCAAAUAUGAAUUUGAGGUUAUGUUGAGUUGUAAUUUAACUUGAGUCAUGUUAUAAAUAUGUUUUUGAGCUAAAACCUUGUUGUAAGGAUAGUAGUUGGUGUUAUGAUUGUAUUGAGGAUGUUAUACUUGGUAUAAUUGGAAGAAGAAGGGGGUAUAAGUGUUGUAUGAUAUAAAUCUUGGAGUGAGUAGUGAUAUGGAAUUAAAGAGACUUAUAUGAGGUUAUUGUUAUAUUGUUGACUAUUAGGUGUGUAUAGUGACUAAGGAGAGACAGUUAUGGUAUAGUUAGACGUUGUAUGGCCCCCUCAGCCUAUAUUUUUUAUGCAUAAUACUUCAUGAUGGCCUUUCGGCUUGCACAGUUUUUGUCCAGCAUAGUUAUAUAGUAUGUCUUUUCGGGCUCAUCCCCUUUUCAGCAUAUCUCUCUUAUGAUUUAGCAGAUUUUCAUUUAAUGACCCUUGAGGUCCACUCUUGUUUAUGAUUAUGAUAUGAAAGCAUGUUUAGCUGUGCUCGGCAGGUAGGGACCAGGCGCCCGUCAUGACCCUCCAAUUUGGAUCGCGACAGGGGGAUUGUGUACAUGAUCAAUUGGCGGAUAAGGGCAAAAGUAGCUGGAGGAGGGAAACAAUAGCAAGGAGGAUGACUCCCCUGAUAACAAUAAGAGUAAGGAGGAGGGUGAUCAUGCGAGGGUAAAAGUAGUGGGGAGGAGGGAAAAAAUAGCAAGGAGGGUGACUUAUCCAAUCCCCCUGAUAACAAUGAGAGUAAGAAAGAGGGUGAUCAGCGGUAGAUGAGGGUAAAAGUAAUGGGGUGGUGAUAGACUGGUCUUCUGUCCCUGAUAUUGAAUUCUCCAAAUUAAUCCAACCCGAUAGUGAUAUAAAUGAUAAGACUAUGGAGGAGGUUGAUAAUUUUGUGAAGGGUUUUGUGGAUGGUAAAAGUAGCCAGUAACAGAGUGAUGACUGGUCUGGUUUCUCUAAAAUCAUCCGAAGUUUAACUGAAAGACUACAUGCUUUAGGAGUUAGUAAAAACAGGAUCAUAUGGCUGCGGAUGAGGAUGAGGAGAUAGACUAGUCUGCUAUCCCCAAUGAUGAGUUCUCCAAAUUCACCCAACCAUGUAGUGAUAAAAGUGUUGUUGCAGGAGUGGAUAAAAAUGUGGUGGAUACAAAGGUGGAGAAAAAUGUGGGGGAGAAUUUUGUAGGACGGGAAAAAGGUGUUGUUAUUUUGGAUGACACACCUGUAGUGCCUCGUAGACCACGAAAUUAGCAAAGUCAUGUGAAUCGCCAUACUUGACCAGUUUUGAUUCUAGUGGUAGUAAUGCUCAAGCUCCUGUAGUGCCUCCAACUAAGUGUAUCUUCUCUACAAAGCGUCCCUCUCAAACAAGUAUUGAGAUUCCUAUUGAUUUGAACGUGUUAAAAGAAUUCAACAAUUUCGUCAACAGAUCGAUACGAGUGAAAGAGAAGCCUAUUUAUGCAGAACAUACUAAUAAGCUUAAAUAUACUUUUGACUUUGGAGUUGACAUGAUUGGAGAAAAAGAAUGGUUUUCCACUCUUGCAUAUGCAGGGCAACUCCUAAGUGCUUCACAUAUUGAUGUGCUUUUUUACUAUUUGAGGAAGAAAAAGAAAUAUGGAUAUGGUGAUGGUGAUGGUUCAGUGAAAUUCACAACCACCGAUUGUGUUCAACUGCUUAAUUCAGAGUAUGUAUAAACACUUUUUAGAGAAAAAUAAAGAUGUCGCCCCUAUUACUCAAGAAGAUCCAAUUGCUGAGUAUAUGUUGGGUAUUUUAUGAAGUGCAAUGUCCCCUGUUGUACUGUUAAUGAGAUUCUUUUUCCUAUAAAUGUUUAUGAGAAGUGGCAUUGGAUAUUGGGAAGGUUGGUUUUUAAAGAUCAAUGUUUUUACAUAUAUGAUUCGCUGGGCGGUGCACGACAAAAUAAUGACCGUGCGUGCACCAGGAUUGCUGAUGUAUAGUGGCCGUGCGUGCACCAGGAUUAACACUGCAUACCAGAAAGAGAAGCACACACCUAGUUCUAGUGCAACUGCUAUUAUAUUUUGAAUCGAGGGUGAGUGGAUGGGAGUUGAGAAUUUGAGCUGAAAAGAACCGAACGCUAUUCCUUUUUUGAUAAACACACACAAGAUGUGUAUAUAAGUUGUAUAUAUUUUGUAUAGAUAUACACACUUUUGAAUAUAUAUAUUGUAUAUUUUGAGCCUGUAUACUACCUGAUUUU